CUGGUUUUUGAUUCUACAUCAGCCUUCGAUAUUCUACUUCAUCUUUAAAACUUCACAGCUCAUUCAAGUGCUCCAGUCUGGUUUUUGAUUCUACAUCAACCUUCGAUAUUCUACUUCAUCUUUAAAAGUUAUCAUAGUCAGCCGGAUCCGGUCCGUAUCCAGAUCAGAUGAUGGACCUGCACCCUGAGAC